UUCGUACUCCCUCCGUCCCAAAAUUCUUGUCUUAGAUUUGUCUAGAUACGGAUGCAUCUAACACUAAAACGCAACUAGAUACAUCCGUAUUUAGACAAAUCUAAGACAAGAAUUUUGGGACGGAGGGAGUACUAA
rfam:Triticum aestivum genome assembly, contig: Triticum_aestivum_CS42_TGACv1_scaffold_423370_5BS